rnacentral:lncRNA from 1 species
CCUGCUGGAUCUGGGUCUUAACCUGCAAUUUCUGAUUCCUGAAGUACUCUUUGUUUCUUUUCUAAGCAGUUCUGUGGCUUCCAUUGAAACCAGUGGGUAAACUGCCUCCCUCCUACUCAUUUCCUGUCUGCAGCAAUUUCCUCUGUCCUUCUGUUUGUUAGACUUUUAUGGUGACUGCAUUUUUUCCCCUUCAUGCUUACUUAAGUGGGAAAAAUCCCAAAUAAUCAUCUGUACUCAAUUUUCUUCAGCCGUUUAACUAUUUCUAUCCUUGAUGUUGCUUUGCACAUCUUUCUUGGCAGCUUUUCAGCCAAAUCCUUGUUCUAGCAGUGCCUGGGCUUAGGACAGCAUCCAAGUUUGUGAUGGGAUUUAAAAACCACAUGGAACAUCCUAUAGUUCACCUGGUCUGACACCAUAUCACGUCAAGACGCUCAAAGAAAUACACUUGACUAGCCAUUUGCCACAGGACAUUGAACCAAGUUCAGAGAUAUUUCCUCAUAUAAAUCUGGUGGCUUAGUUCAGCCCUUAAUGGGAAUCGAUGGACAUCUGCAGAGAACAUCUUUCUUCACUGAGGUGGAACCAGCCCAGAAGGAGUGAUAGCAUUUUGAUGGAAAGCUGAGAUGCUGUGGUUUGUUCUCAACAAAGGAGGGGCUGGCAUCACAGAGCCAGUCAGCCGGGAGGACAACGUCUGGCUAGCAUCUGCCUCAUGGCCACAGAAAACCUACAAGCGAUCCACAGAAUUGCCAGCACCUGCCUAGCAGCAUAAGGAGAGGUGUCAUACAGGAGUCACUCUCCUAGAAGAGGAGUGAAGGAAUGACUGUGGGUGGUAGCUUGCCACCAGCUAUGGAUCCUUUAGGAAGCUUUGGAUAAAGGGUGGUGAACCACAGCUGCUGUCCCUGGAUUGUACUGUGUUAUACUGCUGCCUCUCAUGAACGUCUAAUAGCAAGACAGAAAUGAAUAUGGCUGGGAUUUUCUCCCUGAAUCUAAAUGGCAUGUGCAUGGAAGCAUAAUUUUGCUCAAGCCGGUAUAGUUUUUAGCCCCAUUUGUGUGACUUUUACUUUAUCAGCUCACUGUAACAAAUUUCUUGUGCUGUAUUAAGAGCACAGAAUCUUGUUAAGAUAUGGUUCAUUUAUAUGA